rnacentral:rRNA from 1 species
ACUUAUGGAGGCAUAUCUCGGGAACUGAGAAUAAUGCCCGAUAGAACAUUAUGCCUGGAAUGGUUUAUGUUUCAAAUGAUUUAUCGCCAUAGGAUGGGACUGCGGCCUAUCAGUUUGUUGGUGAGGUAAUGGCCCACCAAGACUAUUACAGGUACGGGCUCUGAGAGGAGUAGCCCGGAGAUGGGUACUGAGACACGGACCCAGGCCCUAUGGGGCGCAGCAGGCGAGAAAACUUUGCAAUGUGCGAAAGCACGACAAGGUUAAUCCGAGUGGUUUCUGCUAAAGAAACCUUUUGUCAGUCCUAGAAACACUGACGAAUAAGGGGUGGGCAAGUUCUGGUGUCAGCCGCCGCGGUAAAACCAGCACCUCAAGUGGUCAGGAUGAUUAUUGGGCCUAAAGCAUCCGUAGCUCGUUUUGUAAGUUUUCGGUUAAAUCCAUGCGCUUAACGUAUGGGCUGCCGGGAAUACUGCAUAACUAGGAAGUGGGAGAGGUAGACGGUACUCGGUAGGAAGGGGUAAAAUCCUUUGAUCUAUUGAUGACCACCUGUGGCGAAGGCGGUCUACCAGAACACGUUCGACGGUGAGGGAUGAAAGCUGGGGGAGCAAACCGGAUUAGAUACCCGGGUAGUCCCAGCUGUAAACUAUGCAAACUCAGUGAUGCAUUGGCUUGUGGCCAAUGCAGUGCUGCAGGGAAGCCGUUAAGUUUGCCGCCUGGGAAGUACGUACGCAAGUAUGAAACUUAAAGGAAUUGGCGGGGGAGCAC